rnacentral:rRNA from 1 species
AUACGUAGGGGGCGAGCGUUGUCCGGAAUGAUUGGGCGUAAAGGGCGCGUAGGCGGCCUGUUAAGUCUGGAGUGAAAGUCCUGUUUUCAAGAUGGGAAUUGCUUUGGAUACUGAUGGGCUUGAGUGCAGGAGAGGUUAUCGGAAUUCCCGGUGUAGCGGUGAAAUGCGUAGAGAUCGGGAGGAACACCAGUGGCGAAGGCGGGUAACUGGACUGCAACUGACGCUGAGGCGCGAAAGUGUGGGGAGCAAACAGGAUUAGAUACCCUGAUAGUCCACACUGUAAACGAUGAAUGCUAGGUGUAAGAGGUAUCGACCCCUUUUGUGCCGGAGUUAACACAAUAAGCAUUCCGCCUGGGGAGUACGGCCGCAAGGUUGAAACUCAAAGGAAUUGACGGGG